rnacentral:rRNA from 1 species
GACGAACGCUGGCGGCGUGCUUAACACAUGCAAGUCGAACGGAAAGGCCCUGCUUGCAGGGUACUCGAGUGGCGAACGGGUGAGUAACACGUGGGUGAUCUGCCCUGCACUUCGGGAUAAGCUUGGGAAACUGGGUCUACUACCGGAUAGGAGCCAUCUUUAGUGUGGUGGUUGGAAAGUUUUUUCGGUGUAGGAUGAGCUCGCGGCCUGUCAGCUUGUUGGUGGGGUAAUGGCCUACCAAGGCGGCGACGGGUAGCCGGCCUGAGAGGGUGUACGGCCACAUGGGGACUGAGAGACGGCCCAGACUCCUACGGGAGGCAGCAGUGGGGAAUAUUGCACAAUGGGCGCAAGCCUGAUGCAGCGACGCCGCGUGGGGGAUGAAGGCCUUCGGGUUGUAAACUCCUUUCGCUAGGGACGAAGCUUUUUUGUGACGGUACCUAGAUAAGAAGCACCGGCUAACUACGUG